rnacentral:rRNA from 1 species
UAGCAUCACUAGUAUUAGAGGCACUGCCUGCCCAGUGACAACUGUUAAACGGCCGCGGUAUCCUGACCGUGCAAAGGUAGCAUAAUCAUUUGUUCCUUAAAUAGGGACUUGUAUGAAUGGCCACACGAGGGUUUUACUGUCUCUUGCUUCCAAUCAGUGAAAUUGACCUUCCCGUGAAGAGGCGGGAAUAAUACAAUAAGACGAGAAGACCCUGUGGAGCUUCAAUUAGCUGACUCAAUAAAAACAAAAUAAACCCGCAAGGCACAAUAAAAUCCUAUAUGAGUCAGUAAUUUUGGUUGGGGUGACCUCGGAGAAARAAGAAUCCUCCGAGUGAUAAAAAUCUAGACUCACCAGUCAAAACAUAACAACACUCAUUGACCCAAAACCUUUGAUCAACGGAACAAGUUACCCCAGGGAUAACAGCGCAAUCCUAUUCUAGAGUCCAUAUCGACAAUAGGGUUUACGACCUCGAUGUUGGAUCAGGACAUCCCAAUGGUGCAGCCGCUAUUAAAGGUUCGUUUGUUCAACGAUUAAAGUCCU